rnacentral:rRNA from 1 species
AGAGACAGCAUCGCCGCGGGAAUACGUAGGGUGCGAGCGUUAAUCGGAAUUACUGGGCGUAAAGCGUGCGCAGGCGGUUGUGUAAGACAGGUGUGAAAUCCCCGGGCUUAACCUGGGAACUGUGCUUGUGACUGCACAGCUAGAGUAUGGCAGAGGGGGGUGGAAUUCCACGUGUAGCAGUGAAAUGCGUAGAGAUGUGGAGGAACACCGAUGGCGAAGGCAGCCCCCUGGGCCAAUACUGACGCUCAUGCACGAAAGCGUGGGGAGCAAACAGGAUUAGAUACCCCCGUAGUCCCUGUCUCUUAUACA